GGAGGAGUCCGAUAGUGGUCAAUUCGGGGAGUUUGCUAAACUCCUGAGUCGUAAGACUCGCGUGGGUUCAAAUCCCACCUCCUCCG
rnacentral:tRNA from 2 species